UGAGGAAUAUUGGUCAAUGGGCGAGAGCCUGAACCAGCCAAGUAGCGUGCAGGAAGACGGCCCUAUGGGUUGUAAACUGCUUUUAUGUGGGGAUAAAGUGCGUGACGUGUCAUGCAUUGCAGGUACCACAUGAAUAAGGACCGGCUAAUUCCGUGCCAGCAGCCGCGGUAAUACGGAAGGUCCGGGCGUUAUCCGGAUUUAUUGGGUUUAAAGGGAGCGUAGGCUGUCUAUUAAGCGUGUUGUGAAAUAUACCGGCUCAACCGGUGGCUUGCAGCGCGAACUGGUCGACUUGAGUAUGCAGGAAGUAGGCGGAAUUCAUGGUGUAGCGGUGAAAUGCUUAGAUAUCAUGACGAACUCCGAUUGCGCAGGCAGCUUACUGUAGCAUAACUGACGCUGAUGCUCGAAAGUGCGGGUAUCAAACAGG
rnacentral:rRNA from 1 species